rnacentral:rRNA from 1 species
AGUCUGCAACUCGACUGCACGAAGCUGGAAUCGCUAGUAAUCGCGGAUCAGCACGCCGCGGUGAAUACGUUCCCGGGCCUUGUACACACCGCCCGUCACACCAUGGAAGUCUACAAUGCCCGAAGCCGGUGGCCUAACCACUUAUGUGGAAGGAGCCGUCUAAGGCAGGGCAGAUGACUGGGGUGAAGUCGUAACAAGGUACC